GACGAACGCUGGCGGCGUGCUUAACACAUGCAAGUCGAACGGAAAGGCCCUGCUUUUGUGGGGUGCUCGAGUGGCGAACGGGUGAGUAAGACGUGAGUAACCUGCCCUUGACUUUGGGAUAACUUCAGGAAACUGGGGCUAAUACCGGAUAGGAGCUCCUGCUGCAUGGUGGGGGUUGGAAAGUUUCGGCGGGUGGGGAUGGACUCGCGGCUUAUCAACUUGUUGGUGGGGGAGUGGCUUACCAAGGCUUUGACGGGUAGCCGGCCUGAGAGGGUGACCGGCCACAUUGGGACUGAGAUACGGCCCAGACUCCUACGGGAGGCAGCAGUGGGGAAUAUUGCACAAUGGGCGGAAGCCUGAUGCAGCAACGCCGCGUGCGGGAUGACGGCCUUCUGGUUGUAAACCGCUUUCGCCUGUGACGAAGCGUUAGUGACGGUAAUGGGUAGAGAAGCACCGGCUAACUACGUG
rnacentral:rRNA from 1 species